AUUUGCCAGAAAUUGUUUGGAAAACUUCAGAAGUAUGCAUACAAAGAGAGAAUCGUAUAAUGAAUCCGAUAACCAUAUCUAACCCUUUCAAUAAUUAGCAAUUGAUGGCAAUUUUAUUAAUCUAUACCCCCAACCCUCAUUCCCCCAACACUUUGCAGUAAAUCUCAGACAUUAAUCUUCCAUAAAUUUAGCACAGCGGGGGCUAGGGUGAAGCAAGUGAGCUCUGCCUUGGGCACAAAAUUUACAAGGCUACCAAAAAGCUUACCAAUCGAGAUAAUAUUUUAAAGCAAUAUUUUAAAAACCAAAAUUAAUGCAAAAGAUCCAUAAUGAAUACAAUAUCAAAAUUCUUAAUAGAGAAUCAGUAUUACUGAUUUUCCUUUGGUCUCAGGCUCCACUAUGACUGGCACAAGGCUAAUACUUAUGUAUCUCCAAAAGAUAAGGACUCUUAAAAAACAUAAUCACAGUAUAAUGAUCACAUCUAAAUAUAACAAAAAUAAGAUCAAGCAUUCAAUUAUUGUUCCAAUUUUGCCACGUUUGAUAUAUCUUAUAAAUGUGUUGUAUAAUAUAAUUAUAUAGAGGUAUUAAAAUUAUAAUAUUCUAUAUAAUAUAGACUAUAAGAAGCAUGUAUAUAAGAUACACAUACACAUUUUAAAAAACAAGUGAUUGGACAUAUAUGUCUCUUCAGUUCUUUGAAUCUAUAGUUUCUCUCUCUCUCCCCCCUUUUAUUUGUAGAAGAAACUUGAGGUUUUCCAGUCUGGGUUUUGUUUCCCAAGGACUUUUAAGAACGCACACAUCAGAAAACCAGUCUCUCACUUCAGUGAAGAGAAGGAAAAUAAUCUUUCCUUCUGCCCUUCUGAGUUCUCGAUGUGGGCCCCUAUAAUGUAAAGACGAUUAACAACGCACUUUAUUUACCAUGAUUUAUGUGACACGGGAGGCCUCACAGGGAAUGUCCCAAAGUUAGAGCUGCACACGCUUACACGGAAUUGGACAAAGAGCAGUAAAAUUAAGAAAAUGUGAUGAGGCAAGGUGGCAGGGGCUAGGGAGUUAACUGGGUGAAGUGACCAGAAGAUAAGGGUGAAUUUAACCAGGUUUGUUUGUACGGAUUUCCCUCAGCCUCAACUUUCUAUCCUUGAGAAUCAGAACGUUACUCUUCUCUUGGUAAAAGGAAUCAAGAUAAUUACCAAUCGAGAUACUAUUUUCAAGCAAUAUUUAAAGCCAUCUUUCACAGGAGAAUUUUAUCUCCUACUUUUAAGAAUAAGAAGAAAGGCUGGAGGGUUUUUCUUGCAUCUGCUGCUUUUCAAAAGCGUUUCGCUCAAAAUGACCAUUGCGCCCCAGGGGCAUGUUUCGGGCUGGCAUUGUCUGCCACCCUUCACCAGCUUCUUCCUUAUUUCCUAAUGCCAAAGCCCAUAGAUCAGCCAACCUACCUCACAAAAGGAGAAUUUUCAGCUGGACCACCUGAAGCUAGAGGUCGAGCAGAGACUGGAAUGGGCAGGGCAGGCCAGAGACCCAGACCCUUUCCCUCACCAGCCACACUGGUCAUCUGGCUCUACGGUACGGCCUAUUCACUUGGUUUCAUGGCCUUUGAGUUGCUGUGCUGAUGGAGGGGAAGGAUUUCCUCUACCCUUCAAGUUUCUUCUAGCUGGUCUAAGAAUUAAGUUUACAUGAGACAGAUCAACAGGAGGAGAAACCCCAAAGUUUAAUUACGUACAUAUGGGGGCCCAGUAAUGAGCAAAAUUAAAAGCUUCCUUCCACAAGGAAAUAAUGCAAAUCAAAUGUCAAUGAUAAACGAGACACACGACUACGAUAAUGCACCUGAGCUAGAAAAAAAGUUAACAUGAAAAGUUUUUUAAAAGAACCCAGGAAAUAGGAAUGGACAAAACUUUGUGCGAGCAAACGGGGAAGUCAGAUCUGAGAUGAAACAACCAGUGAUUCUUAGGACAGGUGGAGAAGAACACAAAUUGAAUUUGGAAGUGAAUGCGGUUGAAGGUGAGCAGAAUAUCACACCCCAAAAUAUGUCAUUUUAACAUACUGGUUAUUUGUAACUAAAGGUGUUUGAGAAACAAUUGAUGCACGAACAACACUCUGACCCUCCUUUGUCCUGACAAAAGCAGGAGCGAAGUCUCCCAUGUGAAGGGUCCCCUCCCUGUACCAGAAAGGUAGAGGACAUCCUUAGCACUAGAGAUGACCAUCCGGGGUCUACAAGAUUCUGUUUGAGAAGCCUGUACAAAUAGACCUUGUCACUUCUCCACCGUUAAUUAUCCCAAGUCCAGACCCCUUUGUGCUGUCAGUUCUUCACAAAUUGAUUGUUUAUUUGCCUACACGGUAAGAAAGCUUCCUGCUUUGGUCACAUUUUUGAGUUUCCUUUCUUUAUGGGGUUCUCACAUGUAUAAAAUUAAAUGUAUCUUCCUCCUGUGGAUCAGUCUUAUCUCAAUUUCAUUACUAGACCAGCCAAAGAACCUAGAUGGGAAGAAGGCAAACAUUUUUCUGAUCCUACACAGUGUUAUAGGAAUAAAAUGGACCAGCAGUUUUGGGUUGAUCCCAGAGUUGCUACAGUAUACUUCAGCUCCAGCCUUUCAGUAUCUUACAGUUUAAAAUAACAGUUGUAACUAAAAUCUUAUGUAACAGUUAUUAUGUAUCAAGCACUAUUUAUGUGUUUUAAAUGAGUUAACAUAUUGAAACAUAACAAACCUAUGAGGUAGAUAUUAUAAUCAUGCUCAUUUCACAGAUAAAAAACUGAGUCAGCAUUCUGAUCAGAUAGCUCUACAGAACUUCCUUUUAACGAAGUCACUAUGCUGUUUCUCAAAGGCACGUUUGUCAUUUUGUCAGUGGAUGAUCAUAUUCCAAGGAAUCGUCCUAUUCGAAUAACCAAGUUCACAGCAUCUUGAAUUGUAUCUUAGAAUAUUAAUUGCUCCAAUUUUAAAUUAAUAUUAAUCUCAUCAUUACUACUGAAUAUGAACUGUGGACUUGAAAACUCCUGUCUAGAUAAGAAACUCUGAGCAUAUGUGAGCCAUGUACCCUGCACUAUUGGCAUGGGGAUUCUUUCUGGGAAUUUCACUUUAAUGACUUAGUAGGUUACUUCCUUUUAUUUAGUUUCCCAAUAAGGAAAAGAAGUAUAAUGAGUGUAAACAUCCUACAGAUGGAUGAUUCUUUUUUUUCUCUUUCUUUGUUUUUUUCUAAAUUUUUUUGUUAUUGUUUGUUUUACAUUAUGUAAGUAUAUAUAGGGGCUCAUUGCAGAAAAUGUGGCUAAGCAAAAAAGAAAAAACUAAACAUAGUUCAUAACUCCACCAUCUAAAGGGAAUGACUAUUUAGCACAUUGAAUAAUGUCCUGAGACAUGUGUGAAACAUUCUUAUUGAUUCUUUAGUUUUAAAGUUUUAAAAAACAUAUAUGUCACACUUACAGAAAAAAAAAAAAAGCAAAAGUAAUACAAAGAACUCCUAUAUACUCUUCAUCCAAUUUCACCAAUUGGGAACACAUUUUCCACGUUUGCCCCUUGUCUUACGUUACCCAUUUCCCCCCAAACCACAUGAGAGUUAGUCUCAGGAUAGUUUUCAAGAGAUCAUAGUCAUGCACACACAGUCUUUCGGACUCCAGUCUGUCACUUCAUAUUUCCUUCACAUCUUUUCAUGAAGGACAGCACAGUGCCAUACUGAAGAGUGAAAGAUCGAUACGCAUUUGUCAAAAUUGUAAUUUUGUUCGAUAAUUGAGCAGCUUAGGAGUGCCUAUUUAAGUCUCUAAAUGUGAUACGGCUUGAGAAAGAAAGCGCUUUGUUCACACUAGAGAAAAUUAAGGAUAUCAUUUCCACUACCUCCUUCCCUGUGUUGGAAAACCCGACACUUUGUAUGAUGUUGAGAAAUUUCUAGAUUCAACUCCUGGCUGGCAGGACCAACUCAUUUGAAAAUAAGCUUUAAUUUUUGACUGUGUACAAAGUGGAGAGUGCAAUUAGAAAUACUCAAGAUACACUAAGAGAAAAGUGCAAGGGCAAACAAUGGGUAAAUGAUUAUGAAUCUUUUGCAGGGAAAAGAAGAAAAAAUAAUAAUAAAUACAAAUAUUUAUAUCUAUGAAAACCAGUAAGGAUAAAUGAGAAGUUAAGAACAGAGUUGACCUACAGAAGGUGAUGGUGAGAAGUGGGCUAAGGAAGAAUACCGCUGAAAGGGAAGCGUUUGCAUUUAUCUUUUUAAAGUUUCUUUCUUCAAAACCAUCAAUGUAUGUAUCAUUAACGCAAAAACAGAAACCUCAAAUAACGUUCCAAGUUAUGUAACCCUUUCAUGUCAGAAUAAGUGUGAGAGUGUAGGAAACAAAGAUCUUUGUCAAUCCUUACUAUUAAAGUUUUGGAAAAUUUUUCUCAUUUUGUAGUCCUUUCUGUCUUUUAGACUGAACCGGGGGAUGCAGAAUGACCCACGGUGAGUGGUAGGAAGGGCGAUUCCACAACUGGUUUUCCACAACUGGUUUUCAGAGGAAACAAAUAAUUCAGGUUUUUCUCCUUCCAGAAGAGUUUCGUCACAGGAAAACAAAGCCCUCUGCUCUGUCGCCCCCGCUAGUGUGCGAGAGCGCGGGGGGCCGAGACAGGUGCAGGGCACCGCCAAGCUGGGGGCGGGGACUGUGCCCACCUUGGGGGCCAGCACCGCAGCAAAGAAGUUCGGAGACUCGCUCACCCAGCAAACCCCGCACCCAGAGGGUGUGCAGGCCCGCGGGUACCCCCGCUCCCAGAGGAUGUGCAGGCCCGCGGGUACCCUCCGCGUGUAGCGCAAAAGUUGGCCCGUACGGGGAUCGAACCCGCGACCUUGGCGUUAUUAGCACCACGCUCUAACCAACUGAGCUAACCGGCCAGGACACGUGCGGGCUUUUUCCCACGGUAAACGGCACUCAAACAGCAUUGCUUCCUCGAGGCUAAUCUCGGGAAGAAGAGAGGAUCGCUCCUAUUCCUCGCGUCCUUCCCGUCUGGAGGGGCCGAGGGGGGAGAAGGGAGGGGGAAAGCUCCAUAUUCGGCCUCAAGGGAUCGGGCUUCUUCCGGGAAAACCCGAGAAGAUUCAGGCCAACGUCAGGGAGCGGGAUCCAGGCGCCUCGGCGCUCCCGGGGACCGUCGAGACAGGCCGGCUCCGCCCGGACCCUGGGGACGCCGCACCUCGGACCCCGCGCAGCGCGGCGCCGAGUCCGCCCCUCAGUGCCGCCGAGCUGGAGCUGCAGUGUGGCUCCCGGACGCGUGGUGGCGCCCGAGAGCGGGGCUGGGGUCUGCGGGGCUGCUGACCCACCGGGACCCGGAGCGCGACCCGAGCUCCCGAACCCAGCCGGAGGGAAGGGGGAGGCGGGGCGCGUCCUGGGCCCGGGAGCAGCGCCGGGACUGAAACGGGAGGAGGAGCCGAGGCCCCGGUCGGGCGACUCCGGAGGAAGCAGGGAAACCUCGGAGCAGGUGCGCCCUUCCCAGCACGGCCUGAUGCACCUGCCGGGACGCGCCCACGCGGGAGGGGCCGGCAGGGGGCGCCGGGCGCGGAGUCCUGCCAUCCUCCGCUCUCUGCUAGGUCCCGCUUCCCCCUGGCUUCCCACCACGGCGCUUUCUAAGCCAGGGGUACUAAUAUUUUCAGAAGUUCACCGGUCUGUGCACAUUCUCAAAGCCUUCUUUCCCCUCCAUUUAUAAGUACCUGUGAGCACGUGUAUGUAUUAUAUGGGCUUCUCUCGGAUAUGCACUAUAGUAUGUAAGGUGUUUAGGACUUGAUAUGCGCUAUUUUUCCCUAGAAAUGAGAACCAUACCCUUUGACCAGCUAACUUUGCCUUUUCUUUUCUAACUUUCCAUUUCAAGCAUUUGCGUUUAAUAUCAUACAUAUAAAUCAUUCUCCUGGCCAUUUAGCACUCUUUUGGCAACUUUGUAUACCGUUUGAAGCAACUAGCAGGUAUCUUCAUACUUUUUGUUGUUAUUCUGUGGUGGGAAUUCUGAAAGUUUGUAGAGCAGAAGAUUAAUAUCAUUAUCAUUCUUGUUUUCCCGGGGCACUUGCUAUGGUAAAUGAUUUCUGAAAGUCUGGACCCCAUUCAGACUUCACUUUGACCUCUAGAGACCAAAGUAUGCAUCAGUCACUACUUGCCUUUUGUCAAGGGUCAGUUCCCUGGGAAACGCUCUGAGUUCAUGGGGAACGCUCUCAGAAUCAGUAAAUACGAGAGGGUGAGGGAAGCGGGAUUGGGAAGAGGCAGAAGCUGAGCUGCGUGUAGUUUAACAGAGGCCUCAAGCUGAUGUCUCAGGGGGAUUUGAGCUUGGAAUGGCGCUUCAGGAACGUCCUGCGUUGAGGCGGAGGAGGGUGGGGGAAAGAUUUGUACUCUAACAUCACCCAGUCUUGGAUGUGAGCACCCCUCGAAGGUGGGUGUAACUUGGAGCAAGGUGCCUCUUUGGUGGAGGAAGUUCCCAGGGACCAACCCAGCCGUGAGUGAACCAUGGGCAGUCAACGUCUGUGAGUGCAGAAAGGAGUGCCACCAUUUUGGAGGGCCAUCUGACAGGCGCAAACAAAUCCUCACAGUCCUUUCAGAGCCAUGUGUCAGACACGUGCUAAUCUUUGACCAGCGACCUCUCCUUUUCCACACGAAUAGAGGAGAGAGCAGGUGUGGUUAAGAGAAAAGGAUGAUUAGUAGAAAGUCAACUCGUUUUUCCUUUAGGGUUCAACAAAGGUCUGUGUCCCCAACAGACUUCAGUGGGUCUAGUGGUGUCCACCUUGAAACAGUGAUCCACAAAGAGACAAUCAUUUCAAUCCAGGCCCUCUGUUCAUCCUUCCAAGAGAACAUUCUUCUUUGGUUUUGACUGAGACAUGUCUGUUCUUUCGUUUCUGAAACAUCUGGUGAACUAGUUACUAAGUUCAUUACGGUUGAGGUGUGUGAAAUCAUACUGAAAUAAUAUGUAAUUUAGGGGCCCACUGUACCUGGCUCCGUGGCUUAGCUGGUUAAAGCGCCUGUCUAGUAAACAGGAGAUCCUGGGUUCGAAUCCCAGCGGGGCCUGUGCCUCAGCUUUCUUUCUGGCUUUUGUGAUUUAACCUCCCAUGUUUUCUCCGGGUGGGUAGGUACCAACUUGAAUUUACCUGGGGAAUACUCACGCCUUUGAGACGCAUAUCCUGUACAUCGUAAGGGUAAUUUAAAGACUCAGAAUAUCUGUUCUAGGGGUGAUAUAUCAGGAAAAGGCAAGGAGCCUCACCUAGCCUAGCUGAGGUUUGCCCCUCUGCCCUGCCAUUUGAGAUCAAGUGACAGAGAUUCAACCACUGUGAAAACACCCUUUCAGAUAUUCUUUGUAUUACUAAGAAAUUACUGAUGACUAAGAAAGGAUUGAUUACUUUCUUGUUGAUUUUUGAGCAUCAGGAAAUGCAAAGGUGUUAGAAGACUAAUAUUUUAUUAAAACUCCUUAAAGUGGAUUUGAAUCUAAUGGACUCCAUAAGAGUUAGUGGUUAACAGGACUAGAAAAUACAAGGUAGUUCCUCUAUAAGAUAAUUUGAAUCAAGUCCCGAACAUUCAAAAUUGUGUCUUUGCUGAAGAGAGUUCUAACUAAAUACCAUUUAUUUCCUGACAUAAGUUAUUCUUUAUUCAAACCUCCUCCCCUAUUAAAUGUUCCCUGGCUCGGGAUCCUCAAACAGACAGCUCUCUUCUGCGCUCUUACAGGAGGCGUGGUGUUGUUUUAGGUCAGCUGUGUGCUUCUUUCUUCUUCGUGUUCAGGUAUCCGUUGCUAAAAUUGGGCACUGGAGAGGUUGGUGAAUUCAUCUGAAUGAAAUGUCCAUUAAAAGGUGAAAGGUCUACUCUGUCUGAUAUUCAUAUGGCCACACCAGCUUUCUAAUGCCUAGUGAUUUCAAGGAAAUCUUCACUGAUGACAUCUACACUCCAAGAAUUAAAGCUUAGGCUCCAACCUGUCUCAUCACAUUCAGAUUAAAUUAUACCUUCCCCUCUGUGGAAGGCACACACCUCAUCUUCUCUGGUCUGGCCCACAUAUUCCCAUUAAAUCUCAUUUCUUUCCA